UCCCUGGUUGUCCAGUGGUUAGGACUCGAUACUUUUACUGCCAAGGCUCAGGUUCAAUCUCUGUUUGGGGAA
rnacentral:tRNA from 1 species